rnacentral:rRNA from 1 species
CCUACGGGUGGCAGCAGUGGGGAAUAUUGGGCAAUGGGCGCAAGCCUGACCCAGCAACGCCGCGUGAAGGAAGAAGGCUUUCGGGUUGUAAACUUCUUUUCUCAGGGACGAAGCAAGUGACGGUACCUGAGGAAUAAGCCACGGCUAACUAAGUGCCAGCAGCCGCGGUAAUACGUAGGUGGAAAGCAUUAUCCGGAUUUACUGGGUGUAAAGGGGGUGUAGGCGGGACUGCAAGUCAGAUGUGAAUACCACGGGCUCAACCUGUGGCCUGCAUUUGAAACUGUAGUUCUUGAGUACUGGAGAGGCAGACGGAAGUCCUAGUGUAGCGGUGAAAGGCGUAGAUAUUAGGAGGAACACCAGUGGCGAAGGCGGUCUGCUGGACAGCAACUGACGCUGAGGCGCGAAAGCGUGGGGAGCAAACAGGAUUAGAUACCCUUGUAGUC